GAACCCGAAAGCCUGUCUCAGUUCGGAUUGGAGUCUGCAACCCGACUCCAUGAAGCUGGAUUCGCUAGUAAUCGCGCAUCAGCCACGGCGCGGUGAAUACGUUCCCGGGCCUUGUACACACCGCCCGUCAAGCCACGGAAGCCGGGGGUGCCUGAAGUGCGCUGCCGCAAGGAGCGCCCUAGGGUAAAACCGGUGACUGGGGCUAAGUCGUAACAAGGUACC
rnacentral:rRNA from 1 species